UUGUGCUGUUGCUAUCAGCGUUGUGACACUGGUGGCUCUCCUCCUGACAGUGGAGUUCAUCUACAGCUGGUCACAACGACACAAAACUAUCUGGAGGGCGUAUUCAUCAGUGCGUCAUCGUGUGCAGGCUGACCCAGAUACCGUGUAUGAAGACGUCUCAGGUCCUAUCAUGAACUCGGGCCCUACUCAAGGUCAAAGUCAGGCGCAAGAUCAAAUUCAAGGCCGAUCCGAA